rnacentral:rRNA from 1 species
UACGUAGGCAGCAAGCGUUGUUCGGAUUUACUGGGCGUAAAGGGUGCGUAGGCGGUUUGGCAAGUCUUGUGUGAAAUCUUUGGGCUCAACCCAAAGUCUGCACAAGAAACUGCCGGGCUUGAGUAUGGGAGAGGUGAGUGGAAUUUCCGGUGUAGCGGUGAAAUGCGUAGAUAUCGGAAGGAACACCUGUGGCGAAAGCGGCUCACUGGACCAUUACUGACGCUGAGGCACGAAAGCUAGGGGGGCAAACAGG